rnacentral:rRNA from 1 species
UACGAAGGGGGCUAGCGUUGCUCGGAAUCACUGGGCGUAAAGCGCACGUAGGCGGCUUCUUAAGUCAGGGGUGAAAUCCUGGAGCUCAACUCCAGAACUGCCUUUGAUACUGAGGAGCUUGAGUCCGGGAGAGGUGAGUGGAACUGCGAGUGUAGAGGUGAAAUUCGUAGAUAUUCGCAAGAACACCAGUGGCGAAGGCGGCUCACUGGCCCGGUACUGACGCUGAGGCGCGAAAGCGUGGGGAGCAAACAGG